GAACUGUAUGGUGCUGCACGAGAAGCAUUUCGCACCGAGGAUAUCUUCCCUUUGGAGAUGACAUAUACAGUGCAGAAAUCAGGAUGCUCAUGGACCAAAAUUUAUGAAGGUAGAGCUUCGAAACCUACAUCCUUACGCGUACAAUAGCAAUGGAAGGUAAGAAACAGAUCCUUGGUCAUCUUCUCAAGCUGCUGUUUGCGUGGCGAUUGAGAUGGAUUGCUUACAUCACAAAUAAGGGCAUUGUUUCCAGCCACUGUACCAAAAAAAGAAGUUGUAACUUGGUCUUGCAUUGAAAAUUGAAUUAGCUCCAGAGGUGAGAAGAAACACAAUAUAAAUUGUGAAAUCACAGAUGUAUCUGAUAUGUUGAACUUGCUUUGUGAAUUCCAGGCAUAUAUAAUAUACCUGUGCAUGUAUUCUUGGAUAGGACAAAUUGAAAUCACAAUGCAUCUGAUAUGUUGAAGUUGCUUUGUGAAUUCCAGGCAUAUAUAAUAUAACUGUUUUUA